rnacentral:tRNA from 1 species
GCCUGGCUAGCUCAAUCGGUAGAGCGUGAGACUCUUACGCAAAAUGAAUUACGUAAUCCAUCUCAAGGUUGUGGGUUCGACCCCCACGUUAGGCU